rnacentral:ncRNA from 1 species
GAUAACAGCGCAAUACCAUCCUAGAGUCCUUAUCAACGAUGGGGUUUACGACCUUGAUGUUGGAUCAGGACAUCCUGAUGGUGCAGCUGCUAUCAAGGGUUCAUUUGUUCAACAAUUAAGUCUUACGUGAUCUGAGUUCAGACUGGCGUAAUCCAGGUC